GAAAUGCGAUAAGUAAUGUGAAUUGCAGAAUUCAGUGAAUCAUCGAAUCUUUGAACGCACAUUGCGCCCGCCAGUAUUCUGGCGGGCAUGCCUGUCCGAGCGUCAUUUCAACCAUCAAGCCCCCGGGCUUGUGUUGGGGACCUGCGGCUGCCCGCAGGCCCUGAAAACCAGUGGCGGGCUCGCUGUCACACCGAGCGUAGUAGCAAUCACCUCGCUCAGGGCGUGCUGCGGGUUCCGGCCGUUAAACAGCCUUACUAAACCCAAGGUUGACCUCGGAUCAGGUAGGAAGACCCGCUGAACUUAAGC
rnacentral:misc_RNA from 1 species